rnacentral:rRNA from 1 species
GAUGAACGCUGGCGGCGUGCCUAAUACAUGCAAGUCGAGCGAACAGACGAGGAGCUUGCUCCUCUGACGUUAGCGGCGGACGGGUGAGUAACACGUGGAUAACCUACCUAUAAGACUGGGAUAACUUCGGGAAACCGGAGCUAAUACCGGAUAAUAUAUUGAACCGCAUGGUUCAAUAGUUAAAGACGGUUUUGCUGUCACUUAUAGAUGGAUCCGCGCCGCAUUAGCUAGUUGGUAAGGUAACGGCUUACCAAGGCAACGAUGCGUAGCCGACCUGAGAGGGUGAUCGGCCACACUGGAACUGAGACACGGUCCAGACUCCUACGGGAGGCAGCAGUAGGGAAUCUUCCGCAAUGGGCGAAAGCCUGACGGAGAAACGCCGCGUGAGUGAUGAAGGUCUUCGGAUCGUAAAACUCUGUUAUUAGGGAAGAACAAAUGUGUAAGUAACUAUGCACGUCUUGACGGUACCUAAUCAGAAAGCCACGGCUAACUACGUG